UUUAGAGGGAAGAAAGGUUAUAGCUACCACUGCUGAUCUCAUGACUUCCUCGCGUCCUGGGUCCAGCUGAUGCUGUGUCAUCGAUCGUCGUGGUCUUUGGUGGGGAAGCUUCCCAUUUUUGUUGUCCAGAAGUCAUCCUUUUAUACUCAGUAACACACCUUGCUCCACCUCUGCCUCAGGG